UACGUAGGGUGCGAGCGUUGUCCGGAAUUAUUGGGCGUAAAGAGCUUGUAGGCGGUCCAUCGCGUCGGGAGUGAAAAGCUGGGGCUCAACCCCAGUCCUGCUUCCGAUACGGGUGGACUAGAGGUAGGCAGGGGAGAAUGGAAUUCCUGGUGUAGCGGUGAAAUGCGCAGAUAUCAGGAAGAACACCCGUGGCGAAGGCGGUUCUCUGGGACGGUACUGACGCUGAGACGCGAAAGCGUGGGGAGCGAACAGG
rnacentral:rRNA from 1 species